CUGGGUUCUACCAGGAAAAUUAAGGUGAUUUUCAUUCAGCGUUUCACAUUGGAGGGCUGUGAUGCUACUGUUUUCGACUAGUUGCCACAAGGCAUAAUUUUUUUUAAAAUCUUUAUAUUGAUUAAAGUUGAGCUUAGGUUUCUUGUUUGAAUAUAUUUGUUUUCCUUAUUUUAAUGCACUAACUGACUUGGGCUCGCCAAACCUACUCUGAGUCAAGACCGCAGGCCUUGGGCUAAGGUACCUCCUUUUAAGAGGAACACAGAGGCUCUUUAACUGGCAUACCCCAGGAGUCAACUGUGAGGCAGUCUUUAAAGAUGUGAACACGCAAUGAAUAUGGAGGCCAGUGUGCCUGAAGACCCUGGUCCUCCGACAUGCUCCAUGUGUCCUCUUAUUUUCGCGGGCAAUCGGCUGUUUCCAAGAGCUUCCUCAGUCGAAAAAGGCUGUGCUCGCUACCCGUCCGUGAGUCCUGCACUGCUACUCUUUAGAUGAACCUGCCUUGCCCAAUUACCCCCUGCUGACCUCAGAUGCCAGCUAAAUCGAAUGUGUGAAGACUCCCGAUGGACGCGUGGCGGUCAGGUCACACACAUGUACCGAGGCUCAUGGGAGCUCUAACACUGUAAAGGUUUCUGUUUUCCUAAGAGCAGUUACCAAGGUUACCUUUCUAAAACACUUUCCGUUUAAUGGCGGUUGUAUUUCACUGCCCUUGUGGACCACUGCUCAACUUUAGGAGUGUCCUGGGGAGCCUAAUAAACUGCUAUAUGACACAGUACAAUACCGC
ensembl:lncRNA